AGUAGCCUAGACACUCCCAGACCUGCAAACACUAGGGCGUGCUCAUCCAGGAUCUGUGAUAUCAUGCAGUCAGGGCUGGGACUCAGUGGGUGGGCUCUCUGCCUUCUGCAACCCUUUCCCCACAAAAUUUCUACUGCACCUGGGGGUAGACCUCGGUGGCACAUCCCCUAUCCCGCUUCCCAGCCCCAAGCAGUGGCCAGCCCAGACCAACCCACUGGAGAAGUUCAUGGUAAGUGUGGGGAGCCUGGAGACGGCGGGGGUUCUGAACAUAGUCUCCACAUCCACAGGCGAUCUCUGGAGGCCACAAGGGCUUGGUCACUGAGACCAGAAAGGCUUCCAGCAUCCAGUCUGGGAGUCCUGCUGGCAGAAGGGGAGCACCUGGGAGUCUCCACUGCCCUGCUGCCCUCCCCCACCAUGAAAACCCUGCAGAAACAGCAGCUAGAAGUACUGAGCACCUACAAAUACGUGUUCUGUUUCCUCUUCAUGGGCCCUUUCUUUUCCCUUCUUGGCGUCUUCCUCCUCUUCACCUCCCUCUGGUGGCUCUCUGCUCUCUACGCGGUGUGGUUAUUCCUGGACUGGGACACACCCUGCCAAGGAGGAAGGCGUUCUCAGUGGAUGAGGAAUUGGGUUCCUUGGAAACAGCUGAGGGAUUAUUUCCCCAUUAAGCUGAUAAAAACAGCAGAGCUGCCCUCAAGCAGGAACUGUGUGCUUGUCACCCACCCACAUGGGAUCCUGAGCAUCGGAGUCUUCUGUAACUUCUGCGCUGAGGUCACUGGCUCCUCGCAGCAGUUCCCCAGACUUCAGUUCUCGUUGGCCAUAUUGAACAGUCUCUUUUACCUCCCAGUCUAUCGAGACUAUGUUAUGUCCUAUGGCACUCGGCUUAAACUCACAGUGGAGGGUCAGGAAGUGGCUUUGGAGCAACGGUUCUGCAUCCUUGCUGGGAGAGGCGCUGGGGACAGGGGAACAUGUUCCGUGAACCAUCAGAGCCUGGAUUUUAUUCUGUCUCAGCCCCAGCUCGGCCAGGCUGUGCUCAUAUUGGUCGGGGGAGCCCUCGAGGCCCUGCAUGCCGUCCCAGGGGAGCACCGCCUCACUCUCUGGAACCGUAAAUGUUUUGUCCGCCUGGCACUGAGGCACGGCGCCUCUCUGGUGCCCGUGUACUCCUUUGGGGAGAAUGACAUCUUCAGAGUUAAGGUUUUUGCCCCAGACUCCUGGCAGCGUCUGUUCCAGGUCACCAUCAAGAAGCUCCUGAGCUUCUCUCCUUGCAUCUUCUGGGGCCGUGGUCUCUUCUCAGCCAAGUCCUGGGGCCUGGUGCCCUUGGCCAGACCCAUCACCACUGUGGAUUCUUACCCUGAGGGGCACUACCAAUAGCUGGGAUGCAAGAAUCAGAUCCUCCUCCCUGUGAGCAGUAGAUGCCUUUCUCUGGAGCAGUGGGGUUCUGCCAGGUGGUAGCCCUCCCGCAGCAGACACCUGUCUUGGGUGAGACUUGGUCUAAGGAGCCACAGCCUGGCAUGAAGAAGGGUAGACAGUCACGGUGGCAGGGCCCUGGCACAACUUCCCGCAGGUCCACGGGGAACACAGACCACAUCCAGGCAAGGGGCACAGCCCGCUGGACUGAGAUACCAGUUGCAGCAUGUGGAUUUCAGCAGUUCUGGCACCAGGCUCUCCAACUGUGACACAUAAGUGCUGCCAGGCCAGAAUUGCAAGUCUCGGGAGUUGUGUGGGCUUUGUUACUCUGCAGCAUAUGGGACCUUAGAUCCCCAUCCAGGGAUCCGACUUCUGUCCCCUCUAUUGCAUGGUGGCUUCUUCACGACUAGACCACCGGGGGAGUCCCCAGAAUGGCGUUUUGCACAUCAGUCCCAGCAGCCGCUUUCCUGUGGGUUCCACACUUGGAACUAAACCCCUCAACUCAACUGUCAGCCUGGCUGGUGAUUCAGACCCAGAUCCAGGCCCUCACAGGAAUCGAGAUGAAACAGGACACGUUUGAGCCUAGGCCUCAGAGGAGGCAGCCUGUUCCUUCUGGUUCCAGCCUCCAGGUCCUGGGUCCUCAAAGAGAAGUGUGCCACGUGGCUGCCCUGAUGCUGUGACACUGGUCAUUUCGGGGGAGCAGAGAUAGGACCGCACUGGAUGACAUAUAUUUCCAAGGAGAGACUUGACCAAAAACCUGGGUUUGUGGACCCAGAGUGGUCCAUGGACCAUCUCAGCACUGAUGGGGAAGCCCUAGGGAGAAAGGGCCACUGAGUGGUCAGCACAGAAAGAGCAUCCAGCAGCAAGUCCCACAGACCUGGCACCAGCAACUGACCGUGACCUUGGCCAAGUCACUUAACUUUCCAAGCCUCAGUUUCCCCCUGGUACCAUGGAGCUACUUACUUCAGAGUUGUGGGAUCUUUAAACUUUUUACUGAAAUAUA